rnacentral:rRNA from 1 species
CGGUCGUAAGCUGUCGCUAUGGGAUGGCCCCGCGGUGCAUUAGCUAGUUGGUAAGUAAAGGCUUACCAAGGCGAUGAUGCAUAGCCGAGUUGAGAGACUGAUCGGCCACAUUGGGACUGAGACACGGCCCAAACUCCUACGGGAGGCAGCAGUAGGGAAUCUUCCACAAUGGACGCAAGUCUGAUGGAGCAACGCCGCGUGAGUGAAGAAGGUUUUCGGAUCGUAAAGCUCUGUUGUUGGUGAAGAAGGAUAGAGGUAGUAACUGGCCUUUAUUUGACGGUAAUCAACCAGAAAGUCACGGGCUAACUACGUGCCAGCAGCCGCGGUAAAU